UCUGCUUGGUGAAGUUCCAGGCCAAAUGAGAGAAGAGACCUCGUGUCAAACAAAAAGUACCAAAUGCCCGAGAAAUAUCACCUAAGGUUGUUCUCUGAUGUCCACAUAAGCACACACAUGUGCACUCCAUCCACUUUCCCACCCCCAUCCCCACCCUCACCCCCUGCACAACACAAUUCUAGUUUCUCAGUGCAUUGUCAGUCUCUUGAUCCAUUCAUGCUUGUUCUGACCUCUUCCCUGGUGCUUGGUUAAGUCCUUGAACUUCCUCUGACACCUCAGCUGGACAUGAAGUGGCCAGAUGAAUGGCCAGGUGAGCAACUAGGACUCUUGGUCGAGGAGGAAGUGACCAUUUCUGGUACUUGGAGUUCUUCCUGUUCUCACCCCACACUCCUUGCCUGUCUAGUGUCAGGGAAUUUGAGGGUCCUUUGUACUAUCACUUAAGUGCCUGACUUCUUGUCCCUGACCUCUUUUUCAGGACCUUCACUGGCUCCCAGACAGCUGUUUUCAUGUGAGGCCAUACCUUCUAACAGUACCUCUCCC
rnacentral:lncRNA from 1 species